AUCCUCUUUGUACAAGAAAUGAGUCUGAUUAACAAGUUAUUUCCAGCACACUUGAAAUUACAUAUCACAGCCAAAAAAGCUUUCUUUUCUUUUCUUUAGAUGGGCACUGUACCGAUCCUCCCCUUCAUCUAUCUGGAGCCAGCAGCAUCAGAUUCCAUCAAGAGGAAAACAGACUGUUUUGUAUUUUGUACCUAGGAUUUGAGCAAGAUGCCAGGACAGCUGUUGGAUAUGAAAAAGUCUUCACACUGGCUACAUCUGCUUAAGGACCAAUCUGGUUACAUGUUUGGAAGCCUGAUCUGGGUGACUUCAAUGGAAAUAGGACCAGGACUUUGUGGUGAUUAAUGCUGAAGACUGGAGAAGGUGAGGUGAAAGAUGGAAAGAGGAAAGAAAAGACAGUGGAAUGGUAAGAAGAUGAGACAGCAAGAGGAAGGUUGAAGAGCAAAGGCCUGGUCCACGUGCAGCUGCACUAGUUUAACUGAAGGUGUGAUGUUAAAUCACUACAACCAUGUAUGGAUGCUCUUAAGUCAGUCUAAGAAUGUUGUAUAGUAGUUUAGUUUAAAUCAGUUUAUAAUAUUUUAUCUAACCUGACUUUGGACCUUCUUAAAUUAAUUUAAGGGUGUCUACAAUCAGAGGUUCACCGAUUUAAGUAAAUCAGUUUCUAAAUCAAUUUAUUUAACUCAGUGAUUGUGUGUAGACAAGCCCAAAGUUCAUCCCAGUGCUGUUUUUAGUAAGGUAAAAUCCUUUCAGUAUUUGAUACAUUGUCUAUCAUUAGUCUAUACAUUGCCUUUUCGACAAAAAGGACUCAAUGAUAAUAGGUCUUUCCCAUCUCUAAUUAGGAUCUUCUCUAUUUUUUCCUUUUUUUACCUCUCUUUCAUUUUUACUUGAUUUCCCCCUAUUUCUCUUUUCUCUUUAACUCUUUCAUUUUCCCAAUUUUCCCUUCCCCCAUCUCUCUCAGUCCCUUGCCCAUUUUCUCAUUGGCAGCUUUCUUCCCAGGAAGUGGGAGAUUUAAGAAGUAAUGUUUUAUAUAUUAUGGUUCAGUCAAUGUUGGUUUGCAUGCAGCAAGCUCUAUGAAUGUUAUUCAGAUCUGGAAAAAAUAGGAAAAGAGUCAAGUCUAAAACAACGUUAAGCUCAUGAGAGGAAAUUCUUAAGCAAAUAUUUCUGCUCACCAUACAAAAGAUUCAUAGCUGCUUUAAGAAGACUGGUUCAGCCAGUUUAUUUCAGCAGAUUUGGCCUAUUUCAGAUUGCUAUUUGCAUAUUUUAUAUCAAGUGACCUGCCAAAUGUCAUGAAGAGGUGAACAGGGAAUAGAGAAAUCAGUCAAGGUGAUGGAUGAGCUGCAGACUUGAUUAUUUAUUCAAAUUAUUCCCACAACGAUUGAGCCUUGCUGAUUGCAGACAGCAUUUUGUCACAAUCAUUAGGAAAGGGCAAAGGUGGCAAAAAUUUAAUGGCCAAAUUAGAGUUAUUGAACAGCCCCUACUAUGACAAGUUUAAUCCAAAGCAGAAGAGCAAACUAUUUGUGCCAAUGAACACCAAUAUUUAGACCUCUUUCCACAAAACUUUGGGCACAAUUUUGCUUGAAAAUUAGCGUAUUUGACUGAACAUUUAACUCCUAAGUGUUCCCUAGGAUUUCUGUAGUAGUGCAUAGCUUCUCUUCAAGCCGUUUCCCUUAAAAGGACUAUGACAUCUUGAAAAGAGACCCCAUCUUUUCCCUGCCCUCUCCAACCGUACAAUAAAAAGAAAUACUUAAAAAAACAGCUUAAUAU